rnacentral:rRNA from 1 species
UACGUAGGGGUCUAGCGUUGUCCGGAAUUAUUGGGCGUAAAGAGCUCGUAGGCGGUUCGGCAAGUCGGAUGUGAAAUCUCCACGCUUAACGUGGAGGGGCCAUUCGAAACUGCCGUGACUCGAGUCCGGUAGGGGAGUUCGGAAUUCCCGGUGUAGCGGUGAAAUGCGUAGAUAUCAGGAGGAACACCGGUGGUGUAGACGGCUUACUGGACCACGACUGACGCUGAGGCACGAAAGCGUGGGUAGCAAACAGG